AACAUGCAAAGCAACCAGAAAACCAAGAAUCUUUCGCAGUCAUUCAAGCAGUGGAUCAUACUGGAAAACAAAUACGUGAGAUCUGAAUUACAAUGUAAGCAUCGGAGCAUUGCCCUAAUGGAAACGCCUCUAGAGUGGUGCAAACUUUUUAAUUAAGUUGCUUUGAAACGAAGUAUUUGUAGUUUGACCCAGGCUGGAUGGCAUUUGCGAUCGAAAUUUAUUUAUAAAAGAGGCGGAGUUUUUAUCAAUUAUAUCCAGUUGUGACAAACGAGCUUGCUGGUAGAGGAAUAUACGAAAAGAACAGGAAAACCAUGAAUUGCAGCUAUAAGAAAAAUAUGAAAUAUUGGAGGCGACGCUGACAUUCCCACCAAACCUUUCAUCUUGAUUGAUUCCAAAUCGAAGACCCAUAAUUACGAUUAGAAGCUAAAACAAUUAAUAAAUGCUUUUAUUAUUUCAAUCUUCA